UUAAGCGACUAAGCGUACACGGUGGAUGCCCUGGCAGUCAGAGGCGAUGAAGGACGUGCUAAUCUGCGAAAAGCGUCGGUAAGGUGAUAUGAACCGUUACAGCCGGCGAUGUCCGAAUGGGGAAACCCAGUGUGAUUCGUCACACUAUCGUUAACUGAAUACAUAGGUUAACGAGGCGAACCGGGGGAACUGAAACAUCUAAGUACCCCGAGGAAAAGAAAUCAACCGAGAUUCCCCCAGUAGCGGCGAGCGAACGGGGAGCAGCCCAGAGUCUGAAUCAGCUUGUGUGUUAGUGGAACGGUCUGGAAAGUCCGACGGUACAGGGUGAUAGUCCCGUACACCAAAAUGCACAGGUUGUGAACUCGAAGAGUAGGGCGGGACACGUGGUAUCCUGUCUGAAUAUGGGGGGACCAUCCUCCAAGGCUAAAUACUCCUGACUGACCGAUAGUGAACCAGUACCGUGAGGGAAAGGCGAAAAGAACCCCGGCGAGGGGAGUGAAAAAGAACCUGAAACCGUGUACGUACAAGCAGUGGGAGCACCUUCGGGUGUGACUGCGUACCUUUUGUAUAAUGGGUCAGCGACUUAUAUUCUGUAGCAAGGUUAACCGUAUAGGGGAGCCGCAGGGAAACCGAGUCUUAACUGGGCGUUAAGUUGCAGGGUAUAGACCCGAAACCCGGUGAUCUAGCCAUGGGCAGGUUGAAGGUUGGGUAACACUAACUGGAGGACCGAACCGACUAAUGUUGAAAAAUUAGCGGAUGACUUGUGGCUGGGGGUGAAAGGCCAAUCAAACCGGGAGAUAGCUGGUUCUCCCCGAAAGCUAUUUAGGUAGCGCCUCGUGAAUUCAUCUUCGGGGGUAGAGCACUGUUUCGGCUAGGGGGUCAUCCCGACUUACCAACCCGAUGCAAACUACGAAUACCGAAGAAUGUUAUCACGGGAGACACACGGCGGGUGCUAACGUCCGUCGUGAAGAGGGAAACAACCCAGACCGCCAGCUAAGGUCCCAAAGUCAUGGUUAAGUGGGAAACGAUGUGGGAAGGCACAGACAGCCAGGAUGUUGGCUUAGAAGCAGCCAUCAUUUAAAGAAAGCGUAAUAGCUCACUGGUCGAGUCGGCCUGCGCGGAAGAUGUAACGGGGCUAAACCAUGCACCGAAGCUGCGGCAGCGACACUAUGUGUUGUUGGGUAGGGGAGCGUUCUGUAAGCCUGCGAAGGUGUGCUGUGAGGCAUGCUGGAGGUAUCAGAAGUGCGAAUGCUGACAUAAGUAACGAUAAAGCGGGUGAAAAGCCCGCUCGCCGGAAGACCAAGGGUUCCUGUCCAACGUUAAUCGGGGCAGGGUGAGUCGACCCCUAAGGCGAGGCCGAAAGGCGUAGUCGAUGGGAAACAGGUUAAUAUUCCUGUACUUGGUGUUACUGCGAAGGGGGGACGGAGAAGGCUAUGUUAGCCGGGCGACGGUUGUCCCGGUUUAAGCAUGUAGGCUGGUUGUCCAGGCAAAUCCGGAUAAUCAAGGCUGAGGUGUGAUGACGAGGCACUACGGUGCUGAAGUAACAAAUGCCCUGCUUCCAGGAAAAGCCUCUAAGCAUCAGGUAACAUCAAAUCGUACCCCAAACCGACACAGGUGGUCAGGUAGAGAAUACCAAGGCGCUUGAGAGAACUCGGGUGAAGGAACUAGGCAAAAUGGUGCCGUAACUUCGGGAGAAGGCACGCUGGUGUGUAGGUGAAGCCCCUGCGGGUGGAGCUGAGACCAGUCGAAGAUACCAGCUGGCUGCAACUGUUUAUUAAAAACACAGCACUGUGCAAACACGAAAGUGGACGUAUACGGUGUGACGCCUGCCCGGUGCCGGAAGGUUAAUUGAUGGGGUUAUCCGUAAGGAGAAGCUCUUGAUCGAAGCCCCGGUAAACGGCGGCCGUAACUAUAACGGUCCUAAGGUAGCGAAAUUCCUUGUCGGGUAAGUUCCGACCUGCACGAAUGGCGUAAUGAUGGCCAGGCUGUCUCCACCCGAGACUCAGUGAAAUUGAACUCGCUGUGAAGAUGCAGUGUACCCGCGGCAAGACGGAAAGACCCCGUGAACCUUUACUAUAGCUUGACACUGAACAUUGAGCCUUGAUGUGUAGGAUAGGUGGGAGGCUUUGAAGCGUGGACGCCAGUCUGCGUGGAGCCAACCUUGAAAUACCACCCUUUAAUGUUUGAUGUUCUAACGUUGGCCCCUGACCGGGGUUGCGGACAGUGUCUGGUGGGUAGUUUGACUGGGGCGGUCUCCUCCCAAAGCGUAACGGAGGAGCACGAAGGUUAGCUAAUCCUGGUCGGACAUCAGGAGGUUAGUGCAAUGGCAUAAGCUAGCUUGACUGCGAGCGUGACGGCGCGAGCAGGUGCGAAAGCAGGUCAUAGUGAUCCGGUGGUUCUGAAUGGAAGGGCCAUCGCUCAACGGAUAAAAGGUACUCCGGGGAUAACAGGCUGAUACCGCCCAAGAGUUCAUAUCGACGGCGGUGUUUGGCACCUCGAUGUCGGCUCAUCACAUCCUGGGGCUGAAGUAGGUCCCAAGGGUAUGGCUGUUCGCCAUUUAAAGUGGUACGCGAGCUGGGUUUAGAACGUCGUGAGACAGUUCGGUCCCUAUCUGCCGUGGGCGCUGGAGAAUUGAGGGGGGCUGCUCCUAGUACGAGAGGACCGGAGUGGACGCAUCACUGGUGUUCGGGUUGUCAUGCCAAUGGCACUGCCCGGUAGCUAAAUGCGGAAGAGAUAAGUGCUGAAAGCAUCUAAGCACGAAACUUGCCCCGAGAUGAGUUCUCCCUGAGACUUUAAGUCUCCUGAAGGAACGUUGAAGACGACGACGUUGAUAGGCCGGGUGUGUAAGCGCAGCGAUGCGUUGAGCUAACCGGUACUAAUGAACCGUGAGGCUUAACCUU
rnacentral:rRNA from 1 species